rnacentral:rRNA from 1 species
AGUCGAGCGGAAACGACUUAACUGAACCUUCGGGGAACGUUAAGGGCGUCGAGCGGCGGACGGGUGAGUAAUGCCUAGGAAAUUGCCCUGAUGUGGGGGAUAACCAUUGGAAACGAUGGCUAAUACCGCAUGAUGCCUACGGGCCAAAGAGGGGGACCUUCGGGCCUCUCGCGUCAGGAUAUGCCUAGGUGGGAUUAGCUAGUUGGUGAGGUAAUGGCUCACCAAGGCGACGAUCCCUAGCUGGUCUGAGAGGAUGAUCAGCCACACUGGAACUGAGACACGGUCCAGACUCCUACGGGAGGCAGCAGUGGGGAAUAUUGCACAAUGGGCGCAAGCCUGAUGCAGCCAUGCCGCGUGUGUGAAGAAGGCCUUCGGGUUGUAAAGCACUUUCAGUCGUGAGGAAGGUGGUGUAGUUAAUAGCUGCAUUAUUUGACGUUAGCGACAGAAGAAGCACCGGCUAACUCCGUGCCAGCAGCCGCGGUAAUACGGAGGGUGCGAGCGUUAAUCGGAAUUACUGGGCGUAAAGCGCAUGCAGGUGGUUUGUUAAGUCAGAUGUGAAAGCCCGGGGCUCAACCUCGGAAUAGCAUUUGAAACUGGCAGACUAGAGUACUGUAGAGGGGGGUAGAAUUUCAGGUGUAGGGGUGAAAUGGGUAGAGAUUUGAAGGAAUACCGGUGGCGAAGGCGGCCCCCUGGACAGAUACUGACACUCAGAUGCGAAAGCGUGGGGAGCAAACAGGAUUAGAUACCCUGGUAGUCCACGCCGUAAACGAUGUCUACUUGGAGGUUGUGGCCUUGAGCCGUGGCUUUCGGAGCUAACGCGUUUAGUAGACCGCCUGGGGAGUACGGUCGCAAGAUUAAACUCCAAUGAAUUGACGGGGGCCCGACAAGCGGUGGAGCAUGUGGUUUA